rnacentral:lncRNA from 1 species
ACCCCAAGCCCAAUGUCAGGGAGUUUCACAGGAUUCAGAGGAAAGAAGAAAAUGUCACUGUCAUGCUUUGAAGUAUUUUCUGCAUCAAGUCUUACUGUGUAUGGGAAUUGUCUUUCCUCAAGUUCCCAGAUAGCUACUUCCUGGGAGAACAGAGGCCACAGUCUACCUUUGCAGAUCCCAGCCCUUCCCCCAGGCCAGUAAGGAUCUUACAAAAGCCUCUUGUGAACCGACAGGGACACCUCAGAGCCCUAAUGGGAGAAGAAGGGCAAGUGUGGGCAAGGCCCCUGGCUCUCCUGCCUGCAGCCAUUUCUCAAGCAACCUGGUUCUCAGGGAGACUUCAAGAACCAGUUUCUGGUCUUUGCUUGAAAAGGAAACCAGUCAUUCAAGGGUAAAUCAUAAGUACUAAAUGAAAAGCUCUGUGACUGUACACUAAAGACUUCAUCACAAGAGGAGAAAUCUCUUGUCUACACACUUGUGUCAGCCUAGGAGUCCGGGACAGAAGGCAUGUAGGACUGGCCAGACUUGAAAGUGACAUGCUGAAUGCAAGGCAAGGACAGAAGGAGCUGAUUCCUUCACAGUCCCCCGGAACCACGUGGUGGCCAGGUUGACAGUACCAGAGAAGAGCACCUUCCCACUUGGGUAAACUG